CUCCAGAGGGAUGCACUUUCUC
rnacentral:miRNA from 1 species